rnacentral:tRNA from 1 species
GCCAGCAUGGCAUAGUGGUUUGAAUAUUGGACUAGGACUCUGGAGAUCAGGGUUCGAAUCCCUACUCUGCCA